UACGGAGGGGGCUAGCGUUGUUCGGAAUUACUGGGCGUAAAGCGUACGUAGGCGGCUUUGUAAGUUAGAGGUGAAAGCCCGGGGCUCAACUCCGGAAUUGCCUUUAAGACUGCAUCGCUUGAAUCAUGGAGAGGUGAGUGGAAUUCCGAGUGUAGAGGUGAAAUUCGUAGAUAUUCGGAAGAACACCAGUGGCGAAGGCGACUCACUGGACAUGUAUUGACGCUGAGGUACGAAAGCGUGGGGAGCGAACAGG
rnacentral:rRNA from 1 species